GGAACACUCUGCUUCCCAUUCAUUCCCAUAGGAUCCUACUCAGCCCAGUAAACAAUGUGACUGCACAUAGCAAGUCAGUGGCAUCUUUCACUGAUUUCUGCAAGAUAAAUCAGCAAACCUGGCCACCGUCCAAUCAGGCUGCCUGCCAGACAGCGGUAUUUACAUCUCGUAACUCGUAUUGACUCUUGUGGAAGCAAUGGAAAGGGCAAGGAGAGAGGUGGCUGCGGAGUGAGCCGGAGGAUUGAAUAAAGAGCCAAUGAGAUGGCAUCUGCUGUGGAUCUGUUGCAAACUGGAGUGGAUUCAAGUUACUUCUUGGGCAGAAGUUGAUAAGUUUCAUCACCAACCUCUCAAAACACUUUUUCACUGUGGACGCUACUGAACGCCAGUCAUUGAGAUAGGUUACCAUGUUCUUCUUAGGCACUGGAAUACCUGAAGCCUGCUUGAAGCAAGUGGGUACCUCAGACUUCUGAAGCGAAAAGUUAACGAACUCAGUGAACAUUCCAGCCAAUUGAUCAGCACAGGUUUUUAGUACUUGGCCAGGUACCCUGUUUGGCCCUCCUGAAGGAUGCUCACACAUCCGUCUCACAGACUAAAAUCAUAGGAUUUAUGGGGGCUGUGGGAGUUCGUAAUAGUUUCUCCAUGUUUGAUGGUCAAAGUGAGCAUGGCAUUGAGCUCAUCGGGAAGUGAAAACCUGUUGUUGCCUACGUUGCUUGAUUUAUAUUUAUAAGAGGUGAUAGUAUUUGCCAUGUCACAACUCUCAAGCAUUCUUCAUCGAUUUAAGUUUAGUCCAGAAUUGUCAUUUAGCCUGUGAGAUACUGUAUGCUUUCCGGAGAUUGUAUCGAGAUCCCUUGUAACUUUCUUAUUCAAGAGUCUUGAAUGCCUCUGAUCUGACUCUCAGCAGAUAGCAGAUCUCAUGGUUCAUCCAAGGUUCUGGUUGGAGAAGACUCUGAAUGAUUUUGUGGGGACAUGCUUGUCUACAACUGUUUUAAUAA